rnacentral:rRNA from 1 species
UACGUAGGUGGCAAGCGUUAUCCGGAAUUAUUGGGCGUAAAGCGCGCGCAGGCGGUUUCUUAAGUCUGAUGUGAAAGCCCACGGCUCAACCGUGGAGGGUCAUUGGAAACUGGGGAACUUGAGUGCAGAAGAGAAAAGCGGAAUUCCACGUGUAGCGGUGAAAUGCGUAGAGAUGUGGAGGAACACCAGUGGCGAAGGCGGCUUUUUGGUCUGUAACUGACGCUGAGGCGCGAAAGCUAGGGGAGCAAACAGG